UCGGACACAAAUAUUUUCUUCCCUCCUUGUUUACUUACAAAUCCGAAACGUGGGUGGUCACCACGUGACGCGAACGCGCGUGCGGCGCUCCGUUUAAACGCGCCGUGUGACCGUGAAUGCGACGACCGCCAUCAUUCGCUCCUCCACGAGCUGAGAUAACAAAACUUUCUUCAAACAUCUCACGGGAAGAUCCACUCCCCUUCUAACGUCUUCUGCUAAGGACCGUAAUGGCCGAAAAGGGAAACGGAAGUAGCUGCUUUAAACGCUACGUCUCGUUUUCUCACCGACCGAUAAGAGAUAUGGCGCCUAAUUCGUAAUCACUGUGUUUGUUUGUUUUUUUUUUCUUCUUUUUCUUCUUCUUCUUCUUCUUCUUCUUUACCUUCCUUAUUCAUUGACAAAGCUUACAUUGUAUCGUCAAAGACGAAAUCAUUCUUAAAAGUGUAACAUCGAUAAGCAGGUCCUAUAUAUAAUUCUUAUGUAAGCGGAAACAGAUCCUUUUAAUACCAUUUUAUUACUGAGCAAUUUCAGGUAUAACAAUUUAUAGUUAUAUCGUAUAUCUCGAUCGUACACUUUUCAAAUAAAUAAAUCUAACGUU